GACGGAGGAUGCAAGCGUUAUCCGGAAUGAUUGGGCGUAAAGCGUCCGCAGGUGGCAGUUCAAGUCUGCUGUCAAAGACCGGGGCUUAACUUCGGAAAGGCAGUGGAAACUGAACAGCUAGAGUAUGGUAGGGGCAGAGGGAAUUCCUGGUGUAGCGGUGAAAUGCGUAGAGAUCAGGAGGAACACCGGUGGCGAAGGCGCUCUGCUGGACCAUAACUGACACUCAGGGACGAAAGCUAGGGGAGCGAAUGGG
rnacentral:rRNA from 1 species